UGACACGGGGUGCCCGGAAUACACCUCUCCGGGCUGAGAUGACACCCGUCGAACCUGAUCCAGAUAACGCUGGCGAAGGGAUGUC
rnacentral:ncRNA from 1 species